GGACUGUGACCAUCUGCCUGGUACCUGGAAUGAAGGCCAGGCACAGGGCAGGUACCCUGCAUAGUUGGAGGAGGUGUGAAUGAAUAGGGGAUGUCUCAGACUUAGGCUGGCUUUGGACUUCCUGAAUCUUGUUUUCUGUCACCUGCUACCUCCCAUCUUGGUUUUCCAUCGGAGAACCAGGCCUUUGUGGCCUUGCAUGGUUUGGGCCUUUUCUGUCUUUCCUCCUGAGGACCCAGGUUCAAGCACCGCCUCCUAGAGAUGAUGGCUCUGGGCCUAGCACUUUCCUGCUUAUGGUGUUGACCCCUGAAUGAGUGCUGCUGAGUGCAGAGUAAAGCUGGUGAGGCCUAGGGUCAGGCUGACCCUCUUUCUGCCUUGGAUGCAGCUCCCUGGAGACUGUGAUGGGGCUGGAGAAUAGCAGUGAGCUCUUCACCAUCUCAGUGAAUGGUGUCCUCUAUCUACAGACAGGACACUAUACUUCUGUCUUCUUGGACAAUGCCAGCGGCUCCUCCCUCACGGUACGUGGUGGCUCUCACUUCAGUGCUAUCCUCCUGGGCCUGUGAGAGGCUGCUGCAGGCUCGUACCCUUACCAAGCAGCGUGGUCGAUGUCUACACUGCCAAGUGACAGUGGUCCUGUGCGGAAGGAAGCCCACUGGACCUCUGCACACGCUGGCCAUCACGUUACCUCCCAGCUCAGCCCCUGCACUGCUGCAGCGGUGACUGGAAGCCGGCUCUCCAGCAACUUGUGGAUAUUGUUCAGCCCUGCUCGGCUCUUCUGGGACC
rnacentral:lncRNA from 1 species